AGCAGUAGGGAAUCUUCCACAAUGGGCGAAAGCCUGAUGGAGCAACGCCGCGUGUGUGAUGAAGGGUUUCGGCUCGUAAAACACUGUUGUAAGAGAAGAAUGACAUUGAGAGUAACUGUUCAAUGUGUGACGGUAUCUUACCAGAAAGGAACGGCUAAAUACGUGCCGG
rnacentral:rRNA from 1 species